AACGAACGCUGGCGGCAUGCCUAACACAUGCAAGUCGAACGAGACCUUCGGGUCUAGUGGCGCACGGGUGCGUAACGCGUGGGAACCUGCCCUUAGGUUCGGAAUAACUCCCCGAAAGGGGUGCUAAUACCGGAUAAUGUCUUCGGACCAAAGAUUUAUCGCCUUUGGAUGGGCCCGCGUUGGAUUAGCUAGUUGGUAGGGUAAAAGCCUACCAAGGCGACGAUCCAUAGCUGGUCUGAGAGGAUGAUCAGCCACACUGGGACUGAGACACGGCCCAGACUCCUACGGGAAGCAGCAGUGGGGAAUAUUGGACAAUGGGCGAAAGCCUGAUCCAGCAAUGCCGCGUGAGUGAUGAAGGCCUUAGGGUUGUAAAGUUCUUUUACCCGGGAUGAUAAUGACAGUACCGGGAGAAUAAGCUCCGGCUAACUCCGUG
rnacentral:rRNA from 1 species